GAAAGCCUCACUGUGCACACCCAGCAGUAGUCUUUAAGAUGGUUUCUUUUCCAUGGGGUAUGCUUGGCAUAGCCAGCCUGAGAUUGCUGCUGGCUCAGCUGUGACAGAGCACCGAGCAGGGCCCAGGGAGGCAGCGUCAGAGAGGAGGGCCUGAGCAUGUCAGAGCUCUCCACAAGCACUAUGCUCCCUGGGAAUGCUUGUUAAAGGGGAGAAGUACUUCUGUCUGCAUCUAGUGAAGUCAGCCCUAUAGUAGAUGAAAUACUAAACUGCUCUGGCCAGAGAUUACACAUCCUGAUGCUCACAGAGUCUUCCAUAGAACAUAUUGCAAGGCAUAAGCAGGCAGCAGAAGUAGAGGAUCAUAACACAAAUUCUACUAUUUCCUAACAUCUAAGACCUGCAUUUUGCAACUUGAUAGGAUAUUAUUUUAUGUUAGGUGUGAGUUUACACAGUCACUUGUUUUAUUGAAAAACCUUAAUUACGUAAGCAAGAGUUUCCCCACUUAAUGCUAACUUCUGCAUGGAUUAUCUGUGGGAUUGGUACUUUCUGAGAACCAAACUUACAGAAAUCUGAUCUGUAAAAUAGAAUUUUCUUAUGGCUUUUAACAUGUGAGAUUAUGAAGAUGUAUUUGUAUAAUAUAAUUAGAUUUUGUCCUAGUAAUCACUUUUUAAAGGUACAAAACAAAUACUUAGAAAAUAUUGUCUGGAGUCAAUGAAAGAUACACUGCAUUCAUCCUAGUAUAUCUUUACCAAAGACACAAUCUUACCAGAACAGUGUAUCUGAUAUAAACCUUGUCCAGUCUCUCCAAAGACUGAUAAUACUGUUUUGGUAUUGAUAAUGUUGGGGAAGUCAGAUACAAAAUCUCUUGAAAUCCAGAAGAAAACUUUUUCCCCCUUUUGUAUAUAUUACAGCAUUUUUAUUAUUUGUUAUUUUAAAGUGUUUCCUACUUAAAUAAAUGCUGUUGAGAAUGCAGAAAAUGUACAGACACAAAAUCAGUUAUUUUCCAAGCAAUUUUUAAUUAUAUUACUCUUGAAAUGUUAUAUACUUCAAUGCAUUGCUUUUAAUACAAAUCUCUUACUUUAUCCAUAAAAGUCUAAUUUCUGCUUGAUAAACUCUUAAAUUAGUUUCAGAUAAUUGCUUUUUCAACGUCUUCCCACAUACAUCUACUGUCAAAUUUUUACAGCUCACUGAGCCAUUUCAAAUUAUGUCUGCUCUGUCUUGCAAAAUAAAAAUGAGUGAUU
rnacentral:lncRNA from 7 species